rnacentral:rRNA from 1 species
GACGUAGGGUGUAAGCGUUGUCCGGAUUUAUUGGGCGUAAAGAGUUCGUAGGCGGUUUCUCAAGUCUGAUGUUAAAUACGGGAGCUCAACUCCCGCAUGGCAUUGGAAACUGGGUAACUAGAGUAUGGUAGAGGUUACGGGAAUUCCUGGUGUAGCGGUGAAAUGCGUAGAUAUCAGGAGGAACACCUGUGGCGAAAGCGCGUGACUGGACCAUAACUGACGCUGAGGAACGAAAGCCAGGGGAGCAAAAGGGAUUAGAUACCCCUGUAGUCCUGGCCGUAAACGAUGGAUACUAGGUGUUGGAGGAUUCGACCCCCUCAGUGCCGUAGCUAACGCGAUAAGUAUCCCGCCUGGGGAGUACGACCGCAAGGUUGAA